AUGCUACGGUGAAUACGUUCCCGGGCCUUGUACACACCGCCCGUCACACCAUGGGAGUGGACUGCACCAGAAGUGGUUAGCCUAACGCAAGAGGGCGAUCACCACGGUGUGGUUCAUGACUGGGGUGAAGUCGUAACAAGGUAGCCGUAGGGGAACCUGCGGCUGGAUCACCUCCUUAACCGAUGA
rnacentral:rRNA from 1 species